UAGCGCCCCAACGUGGGACUCAAGAACAGGGGACUUUGUGAGGGACGCUGUUUGUGGGCCCAAAGUAGAAAAAGGCAAAGAAAAUAGAGGACAAAUGUGGGAGCCUGCCACGUGACUGAACCUCAGUAAGUGAACAGCAAUUAUGGGACAAGAAAUUAGUCAGCAUGAGAUUUUUGUUGAAAGUUUAGAAAAGCAUUAAAGACACAAAGGGUAAAGGAAAAAAAAAAUUAGCAAUUUUGUCCACU
rfam:Cavia porcellus supercont2_33 genomic scaffold, whole genome shotgun sequence.